CGACGCGUUGUUAAGCAUUAUACAGCGAAACUGCGAAUGGCUCAUUAAAUCAGUUAUCGUUUAUUUGAUAUUACCUUACUACAUGGAUACCUGUGGUAAUUCUAGAGCUAAUACAUGCAAAAAAUCCCGACUUCGGAAGGGAUGUGUUUAUUAGAUUAAAAACCAAUGCCCUCCGGGGCUCACUGGUGAUUCAUAAUAACCUCUCGAAUCGCACGGCCUUGCGCCGGCGAUGGUUCAUUCAAAUUUCUGCCCUAUCAACUUUCGACGGCUGGGUCUUGGCCAGCCAUGGUGACAACGGGUAACGGGGAGUUAGGGCUCGACUCCGGAGAAGGAGCCUGAGAAACGGCUACUACAUCCAAGGAAGGCAGCAGGCGCGCAAAUUACCCAAUCCCGACACGGGGAGGUAGUGACAAUAAAUACUGAUACAGGGCUCUUUUGGGUCUUGUAAUUGGAAUGAGUACAAUUUAAAUCCCUUAACGAGGAACAAUUGGAGGGCAAGUCUGGUGCCAGCAGCCGCGGUAAUUCCAGCUCCAAUAGCGUAUAUUAAAGUUGUUGAGGUUAAAAAGCUCGUAUUGGAACCUUGGGCCCGGCCCUCCGGUCCCCCUCACCGGGUGCACUGGCUCGGCCGGGCCUUUCCUUCUGGAGAACCGCAUGCCCUUCACUGGGUGGUGCCGGGGAACCAGGACUUUUACUGUGAACAAAUUAGAUCGCUUAAAGAAGGCCUAUGCUCGAAAAGUCUAGCAUGGAAUAAUAGAAUAAGGACGUGUGGUUCUAUUUUUGUUGGUUUCUAGGACCGCCGUAAUGAUUAAUAGGGGACAGUCGGGGGCAUCAGUAUUCAAUUGUCAGAGGUGAAAUUCUUGGAUUUAUUGAAGACUAACUACUGGGAAAGCAUUUGCCAAGGAUGUUUUCAUUAAUCAGGAACGAAAGUUAGGGGAUCGAAAAGAUCAAAAACCGGCGUAGCUU
rnacentral:rRNA from 1 species